rnacentral:rRNA from 1 species
GGGCCCGCACAAGCGGUGGAGUAUGUGGUUUAAUUCGAUGCAACGCGAAGAACCUUACCAGGGUUUGACAUCCUGCGAAUCUCUUGGAAACGAGAGAGUGCCUUCGGGAACGCAGUGACAGGUGGUGCAUGGCUGUCGUCAGCUCGUGUCGUGAGAUGUUGGGUUAAGUCCCGCAACGAGCGCAACCCACGUCUUUAGUUGCCAGCAUUUAGUUGGGCACUCUAGAGAGACCGCCGGUGAUAAACCGGAGGAAGGUGUGGAUGACGUCAAGUCAUCAUGCCCCUUACAUCCUGGGCUACACACGUACUACAAUGGGUAAGACAAUAAGUCGCGAGCCUGUGAAGGUCAGCAAAUCUAUAAACUUACUCUAAGUUCGGAUUGUAGGCUGUAACUCGCCUACAUGAAGUUGGAAUC